rnacentral:rRNA from 1 species
UACGUAGGGACCAAGCGUUGUUCGGAUUUACUGGGCGUAAAGGGCGCGUAGGCGGCAAUUCAAGUCAGCUGUGAAAUCUCCGGGCUUAACUCGGAACGGUCAGCUGAUACUGUUUUGCUAGAGUGCAGAAGGGGCAAUCGGAAUUCCUGGUGUAGCGGUGAAAUGCGCAGAUAUCAGGAAGAACACCCGUGGCGAAGGCGGUUCUCUGGGACGGUACUGACGCUGAGACGCGAAAGCGUGGGGAGCGAACAGG